CCUACGGGUGGCAGCAGUCGAGAAUCAUUCACAAUGGGGGAAACCCUGAUGGUGCGACGCCGCGUGGGGGAAUGAAGGUCUUCGGAUUGUAAACCCCUGUCAUGUGGGAGCAAAUUAAAAAGAUAGUACCACAAGAGGAAGAGACGGCUAACUCUGUGCCAGCAGCCGCGGUAAUACAGAGGUCUCAAGCGGUGUUCGGAAUCACUGGGCGUAAGGCGUGCGUAGGCUGUUUCGUAAGUCGUGUGUGAAAGGCGCGGGCUCAACCCGCGGACGGCACAUGAUACUGCGAGACUAGAGUAAUGGAGGGGGAACCGGAAUUCUCGGUGUAGCAGUGAAAUGCGUAGAUAUCGAGAGGAACACUCGUGGCGAAGGCGGGUUCCUGGACAUUAACUGACGCUGAGGCACGAAGGCCAGGGGAGCGAAAGGGAUUAGAUACCCGGGUAGUC
rnacentral:rRNA from 1 species